AGGUGCUAUGGUUAAUAAUCAGUUCCGGCUGGCUGCUUCAGUGUAGACAUCUGCGAAGAUAAAUUUUCAGCACAUUUCUGGUGCUGUUAUGAUAUACUAAAGGUGCAAACAGUAAACAAGCCGUGUGAAAAUUUCAUCCAGACUGGGCAUCAAAAACUGACAUUCGCUACCAGGUUGAAGCUGAACCAUAAUUUAUGCUUAUUUCCCGUACAAAGAGAAAUAUUUUGCAACUUCAUGUCACUAAAUAGUAUGCUGAUGGAAUGAUUUUUAUUUU